UUUCCAUUAUUUAGAUGAUGUUCACUAAUUAAAUAAAUCAAAGUUUGGUGACUAUGUUGACUGCAUCUUCAGUUUGGAUCAGAUUUAACCUGUCUUAAAAAUGUGUCAGGGACUUUCAAGACAAAUUGGCUCCUAGAACAGUCUCUAACAGAAGUAGUUCUAACCUGAUACAUAUUUGGAAGUUUUAUCUUUUAACAGAUUUGGAAGUUAUAUAACCCUAA
rnacentral:lncRNA from 1 species